rnacentral:snoRNA from 1 species
CCCUCCUACAAAGGCAUAUCUUUUGCUCCCCGUCUUUGGACACAUAAGAAUUGGAGGCAAAGAAAUGAGGGUUUGGAUACAUCUAGAGCUGGCUUGCUCCCUGCAGGGUCAAGAUCAACUGUCCCACAUAA